CGUCUACCUCUAACUGACACAAUCCAGGAUCAGGACCUUGAGACCAAAAAAAUCUAACUACAGGAUCUCAGGUGGUUUUUAAGUGUCACCUCUCGCCACAACAUCAGUCUCACCUUCCUACUGAUGGAAGACAGAGGAGAGGCCAUUAUCAACAACAGGAGUUAAAGCCUCCAGAUACUAAGGAAGCACACAGCAAUAGUCUCACACUCUACCAAAUGUUUAAUUACUUUCUACAAUGACUGAGUUUUGAAGAAAAAGCAACACAAUGAAAAAAAGAUGCAAUGACUGGUUUCUGGAAAAUGCUACAAAGAAACUAGCCAGUGACAUGCCUCUCCUCUGAGCUGGGGAAUGCAUCCCAAGGAAAUAAAUCAGAAGGAGCAAAUGCUGCUGGUCCUGAAGAAGUUACACUGCAAAGUCUGUAGGAGUGGUUGAGUGGAGGAUGGCAAAUCCUUUGGUGAAAAUGUUACAUCUUUAUGGAAUAGUGUUUGGAGGAACUUAAUGUCAGCUCAUGUCACUAUGUGUUUCAGGUGUUACCCAUGUCACAUCACUCCUCAAGUUUCUGUUUCUACCCAUCUUCCUAGUGCACCUUAUUACAUGUCUCCCUCCACUUCUGUUCAAUAAUAACCACCAUUAUAGAGUCUGUGUAAUAGGGGAAAAUGUUUACAACACAAUGCCUGGGUCUGUGUCAGAGUUCAGAUAGUGGAGGUACAAACACUACCAAAACAUCCACCCUCUUGGAUACAGAUAUGACAACAUUUACUUUUUUUUUUUUUUUUGCAAAGCUUGCUUGGGUAAUUUCAUCACUAGGGCCACUCAUUCAUUCAUUCAUUCAUUCAUUCAUU